UUUCUUUAAGAAAGUAAGAUCCCUGAGAGAUGAUCAGGUAGAUAGGUCAGGAGUGGAAGUACAGUGAUGUAUGGAGCGGACUGAUACUAAUCGAUCGAGGACUUAACCAA
rnacentral:rRNA from 1 species